CUGCAGCUUGUUUAGAAGGCGUGGGUCUUGGAUAUUAGCAGCAGCUCCGCUCCUUCUCAUCGCCUGAGUGCUCACCGGAGAAAAGAUGCUACAAGAACAGAAACCUACGCCGCUACUCCGGCCGCUAAUUAUCACUGUCCGCUCUCCAUCGAGUCAUACUCACACAAACYCAAGCUGAUCACUCCACCCUUCUCAAUAAGACGACCUGGUCCUCCGUUCCAGUAUUCUCCCCCUCUCCAUUUUCCCCUGACUUCAAUAAACCAUAAUUGUACUUUUA